UACGAAGGGGGCUAGCGUUGCUCGGAAUCACUGGGCGUAAAGGGUGCGUAGGCGGGUUUUUAAGUCAGGGGUGAAAUCCUGGAGCUCAACUCCAGAACUGCCUUUGAUACUGAAGAUCUUGAGUCCGGGAGAGGUGAGUGGAACUGCGAGUGUAGAGGUGAAAUUCGUAGAUAUUCGCAAGAACACCAGUGGCGAAGGCGGCUCACUAGCCCGGUACUGACGCUGAGGCACGAAAGCGUGGGGAGCAAACAGG
rnacentral:rRNA from 1 species